AUAAGAAAAUCUAACUAGUAUUCAGAUUCAUGUUAUGUGUAAUAUUUUUAAUAAAUUAUUUUUAUGCUAAAUUACAGAAAACUCUCUUGUCAAAAUUUGAUUUUUUAUUUUCCCUCCUGUAAUUUAAAAACCUACACUUUGGCCUUUUAUAAAAUAAAAAAAGUUCACAGGGAGUACGGUGUGAACUGUGAUGAUUAAAUAACUAUUUUUUUCCUCACCAUUUUGCGGAGAGAAGACUGAAAGCAUUUUUGACAUAAAAAAAAUAUAUAAUAAUAUUUUAUAAACGGAACUCUAACGGAUUACUAACGGAAUGUGGCGAAGUGAAUAUUUUUCAUUUUACAAAAGGACAAAGUGAAAAUUUUGAUUUUGACAGAAAAAUUUUAUGUAAUUUAGCCUUACUUUUAAUACAUAUGGCAAAAAAAUUGAUUGUUGAAUUUGAUAGUUGAUAUUCAAUAUCACAAGUUCAAAAUUUAAUUUAUUUAGAGUAUUAUAUUUUUAUUAAUUAUAUAACCAUAUAAUUAUACAAUUUUAUAA
rnacentral:lncRNA from 1 species